UUACAACUCAAUCAAUUUGCAAUGGUGGUUUCAUAUAUUUUAGUUUCUUUCACAUGCUUAAAAGGAAUGUCUCAGAUUUUUGUUCUGCUGUCCGCGGAAUAUUCCGAUUAUGAUAGUCAUGAAAGCAAUGGGAAUAUUAAGCGAUCAAUAGGUUGUACAGAUGAUUGGCAGAAAUCCUAGAUACAGUGCCCUACUUCUUCCAUCAUUUGAGGAAUGCGCAAGCCUCGGUAUAUUUACGCAACAACAAGCUCUUGAGUUCCUCGAGGGAAAGUUUAAGAAGUUGCCAUAUGCAAAUACUUCAACUGGAGAGGCUGUGCCAAGCUGAAGGACACGCUAUUACAAAUUAUCGAGUUUGCCCUAGUGUCGAGUACUUACCAGCACUUCCCGAGUGGCUCUUACUUUGUUUGUAUGACUUGUUCAGGAAGGCAGAGCUAUGUCUAUACUUCAAGAUGUAUUUCUUGCCAACGUGCGGGUAAUCUUCGCUUUAAUGUCUUUCUCUUAAACAUCAUUAGCAUAAGCCGGCUCUUAUUUAUUUAUGUAAUAUGUAUAUAUGGAUCUUUGCUUUAAUGUCUUUC